rnacentral:rRNA from 1 species
CACAAUAGAGAUGCAACUGGUCGAGUGGCCAAAUGGGCGAUUGAACUUCUUCCCCUAGAUAUCAAGUUUGAGGCAAAGAAAGCUAUCAAGUCCCAAGCAAUUGCAGAUUUCGUCGCCGAGUGGAUCGAACAGCAACUUCCGACUCAAGUUCACUUGGAGCACUGGACCAUGUUCCUCGAUGGAUCUAAGAUGCUGAAUGGUUCCGGUGCUGGGGUAGUAUUGGUUUCCCCCCGAGGAGAUAAGCUCAGAUAUGUUCUCCAGAUUCACUUUGAUUCCUCCAAUAACGAAGCAGAAUAUGAAGCACUUUUGUAUGGGUUGCGCAUGGCCAUUUCACUCGGCGUCCGUCGCCUCAUGGUCUAUGGCGACUCAGAUUUGGUGGUUAAUCAGGUGAUGAAGGAGUGGGACGUCAGAAGUCCAGCUAUGACUGGUUAUUGCAAUGCAGUGAGAAAGUUAGAGAAGAAAUUCGAGGGGUUAGAGCUUCAUCACAUCCCCCGACUGAAAAAUCAAGCGGCUGAUGAUUUGGCAAAGAUAGGCUCCAAGAGA